AGUGAACGCUGGCGGCGUGCUUAACACAUGCAAGUCGAACGAGAACGGGUUAAAGCUUGCUUUAACUGUCAGCUAAGUGGCGCACGGGUGAGUAAUAUAUAGGUAACGUGCCUUGAAGAAGGGGAUAACGUUUGGAAACGAACGCUAAUACCCUAUAUGCCUUUAAUACAUAAGUAUGCAAGGGAAAUAUUUAUAGCUUCAAGAUCGGCCUGUACGGUAUCAGUUAGUUGGUGAGGUAAUGGCUCACCAAGACUAUGACGCCUAACUGGUUUGAGAGGAUGAUCAGUCACACUGGAACUGAGACACGGUCCAG
rnacentral:rRNA from 1 species